GCUCAGGACGAACGCUGGCGGCGUGCCUAAUACAUGCAAGUCGAGCGAAUCGAUGGGAGCUUGCUCCCUGAGAUUAGCGGCGGACGGGUGAGUAACACGUGGGCAACCUGCCUAUAAGACUGGGAUAACUUCGGGAAACCGGAGCUAAUACCGGAUACGUUCUUUUCUCGCAUGAGAGAAGAUGGAAAGACGGUUUACGCUGUCACUUAUAGAUGGGCCCGCGGCGCAUUAGCUAGUUGGUGAGGUAAUGGCUCACCAAGGCGACGAUGCGUAGCCGACCUGAGAGGGUGAUCGGCCACACUGGGACUGAGACACGGCCCAGACUCCUACGGGAGGCAGCAGUAGGGAAUCUUCCGCAAUGGACGAAAGUCUGACGGAGCAACGCCGCGUGAACGAAGAAGGCCUUCGGGUCGUAAAGUUCUGUUGUUAGGGAAGAACAAGUACCAGAGUAACUGCUGGUACCUUGACGGUACCUAACCAGAAAGCCACGGCUAACUACGUGCCAG
rnacentral:rRNA from 2 species